rnacentral:misc_RNA from 1 species
GAUGAAGAACGCAGUGAAAUGCGAUACGUAAUGUGAAUUGCAGAAUUCAGUGAAUCAUCGAAUCUUUGAACGCAUAUUGCGCUCUCUGGUAUUCCGGAGAGCAUGCUUGUUUGAGUAUCAGUAAACACCUCAACUCCCUUUUCUUUUUUGAAAUUGGAGCUGGACUUGAGUGAUCCCAACGCUUUCUUCCAAGAAAGUGGCGGGUUGCUUGAAAUGCAGGUGCAGCUGAACUUUUCUCUGAGCUAUAAGCAUAUCUAUUUAGUCUGCCUAAAAAACAGAUUAUUACCUUUGCUGCAGCUGACAUAAAGGAGACUAGUUCUUGUGCUGACUGAUGCAGGAUUCACAGAGACAGCUUCGGCUGACUUUGUAAACUCGAUCUCAAAUCAAGUAAGACUACCCGCUGAACUUAAGCAUAUCAAUAAGCGGAGGA